rnacentral:lncRNA from 1 species
AUUUUUAAAGUCAUAAUUCUCCAGAAUGUGUUGAAAAUUGUUCUCUGAAGCUAUUUUAACUCACACAGACGCAGCACUUUCACUUCAGGAAAAUGCUCUUAUUUUCAGCUCAAGUUCUUAAGUGGGGAAAGCAUGGCAGAUGCUUUUUCCGAGCAUAAGGGGUUGAUUUGAGCUGAAUUUUAAUUAAAAUUACUCAAAGGCUUAGUGAAUAACUCUCCAUUAAAAAAAAAAACAGUCUGUCCUGUAAGGAAUGAAAUACUGUCAUGGUAAAUCAAAGUAAAAAGAAAAUCAGAAAAAGGUAACCAGUUACUAGCUGGCUCGAUCUUGAGGUUAUUUUAAGUGUUAAAAUAGAAAAUACAGUUUUCAUUUUUUUAUAGUUAUGCUUACAUUAAUCUGUAGUGGCAUCAACAAUGAGGUAAAAAUCUUAUACUGAGUGCAGCAAAACAAAUUGGUAGAUUAACAUUAAUAUUAUAAGUGCCUAUAUUUAAUAUCUGCCAUUGGAUUUCAUUCGGCAACUGUUUCCUAUUCGUUGAAGGUUUGACAACUGACUGUUUAAAUUUAGAAUGCAAAGCUCCUUUUAAAUAAUGAAUUAGAAAAGCGUCAAACCGUUCUUUGCCUCUUGCAUGUGCCAAAUGUCAAUACAGUUAUUUCCCCAGCAUAAUCUUCAACUUUGAAAACCUCUGUUCCUCCACAAGAAAAAGGUAUACAGAAAGUUAAAAUUUAAUAGAGACUUAAUUAGGCAGUAUUGUUGAGUUCCUUUUAUAAAGAGUGCUAUUUUGGGUUCUUUGCGAGAUAAAAAGAUGAACUGGAUAGGGCCAUGAGUCACACAGACUUCACACAAUGCACUUCAAAACACCUGUGAUAAAUGCCUUAAUGGCUGAAUAAACAGUGUCCAGCCUGAAAGUUCCGCAGGGACUAGGGGGCUUAAUUCCAGUCAAGGAUGUCUUUUACAUAACAGAACACUACAUGGAGCAUUGGGUGUACAGAGGACAACAGAGAGAAUGUAUGGCACAAUGUUACACUAUAAAGAACUUACCAUCUUCUUCAGAGAAACAGACUCUGCAUACAAUGAAACUCUAUGUACAGACGUGAUUACAGUAAAGUAUACAACUGCAUACCAAAGAACAAAAGAAUGUCAGAGUAUGCUGAGAGUUUGCUCAAGGGGCAAACUGGUAUUGACUGGAUAAGACAGAAUCUGAGAUGUGCUGGGGUAGACAGGGCGUAUUUGCAGAAGAAGCAGGAGACAUUUGAAAUGAGGAAUAGGAUGCUUGAAGGCCCAAGAAACUGAGCUGGAAAAGCAGAUCAUCAUGCAGUCCUCCUGCUGCUCCUCCCCCUCUGUCCUUCUCUUCCUCCUUCUCCUCUCCACCUUCCUCCUCCUCCUUUCUUCCUCCUCAAUCUCUUCAUCUUUCCAUUUUCUUCAUUUUUUUUCUCCCUCCUUCUCCAUCUUUCUUCUCCUCUUCAUCUUGAUCUUCCCCCCCAAGCUCCUUUCCUCCUCUUUCUCUUCCUCUUCUUCCCCUUUCUCUUCCUCCAUGAAGCAGAAAGGGUUCGUUAGAGUAGAACACUCUCAAGAGAUGAGAUGCACAGAGUUGGGAGUUGUGCAUGAGGGACAUGAUGGAGACAAAUAUGUAGAUAUUACUUAUUGCUUUAAAGAAUCUUACCAUCGAUGUGGAAAUAUUAGCUAGUGGCCAAGGGGGGGUUGUCAACAUCAGUUGCUCUUUGAAAAUUCCCAAAAGAACAGAUCAGCUUCAAUAAUGCAGGAUUGUAAGGGGCACCUCUCUUAAUACUCGAGAUAGGGAAUCUGAUUGAACUUGUAAGAACAGGAAAAUCACAUAGUUCAGUGUGUCAAGAAGCCUGUGCCACAUGAAAGCAGCUAGAAAGAUUAGUAUGAGAGCUAUUGUUUUUCUGAAGAACUGUUUUAUAAAGGUCCUUCUAAAUGGUAUGGUAUCUGUUCAGCAUUAGACACAUAGGCAAUGUUCUGAUAACUUCCGACAUAUUUAUUGUGUAUUCACACAGUACAUGAUGAAUGUGUAUUCAGCCAUUGUAGACAAGUUCUGCAGGUCCUUGUGAGUCUUAGAAGAAAUAAUGUGGUUGGCUUGCUACACCAUAAAGAUUACAUAUUUUUAAAGAAGAGACAAAAUGUAUUCAUAUUUUUUAAAACAUGAGAGAGCCUGAAAUAUAAAUGUAUCCAUGAAAAGGAAGAUUUAUGUCAGAAAAGGACCUAACUCAGAUCUGGUUAAAUGGUACAAAGCCUGGAGGCAAGACCAGAGAAGGUCAGUCCAAUUUCCUCCCAGGACAGAGUAAUAGAACUUGGUGACAAGGAGGUUCAAUGAGAUUAGAUUUUUAAAACUGAGUUCUGCUCUACUGAGAUCCUUUAGUACCUCCACCCAAGUACACAGUUGGGUGUUGUGUGUGAGAGAGACGGUGGGAAUUCAUAUGCAGAUAUUACAUAUUGAUUCAAAACAUUUCACCAUGUACGUGAAAAGCUUGUUUACAGUGUGCUCUUCAGUGAAGAGAUUGACAGUCAACAAACUACACUAGCUCAUCAAACUAAGUGUCUCUACUCCAUCAAAGCCAAUAUUAAAAUAGAAUUGAACUUUCUGCCCUCUUUACUGGUCAAGUAAAAGUUUUACCGGAUACCCAAAAUAUCUAUGUGAGAACCUUUGUCAGUUGGGAGGCAUCAUUCAACCCCAAGUUCACCUGCAUAAGGUGGACUUCCUUUUCCUCUAAGUGGCUGAAAUGUCUGACCUGUCCUUUAUCCCAAGAGAGUCAAUUCUUCCCACCUUCCCCUUGGACUCUCCCCAGCUAACUGUCUUCAGAGCCUUCAGUUUCCAUGGCAUCUUCACACCACUUCCUCUUCCCAAGAAGAGCCUUCAAUCCCCCAGAGCUUAGCUCCACUGAUAUCAAAAGGCCUUAGACACUGUACAGGGCCACAUCCUUGGAAUGCCUUCAAGUGGGGUUAUGAUCAGACCUCUGACCCCAUUCAUGAUGCUUAGUGUUUCUGUUCUUUGUCUUUGGUUUUAUGGAACCUCCGAGUCCCUUUCCUCUUCCUGAGUCUGCUCAGGUUGAUGCCUCACCACAGUAACUGCAUAGGAAGGGCCCAGCUCCUCAGACCUCCUUCCAGAUUUCCUAUUCGAUUUAUAAGUGAUUAGCCUUGACUGGAGAAUGUUACAUCUGACUAUAUCCUAAGUGGUAAAAGUAAGAAUUCAUGUUCCUACAGUAGCUCUUUACAGAGAGGCACUCAUUUAAGCCAUUUCUCUGGGUUGGACAGAAGAUAUUCUAACUUUUUAGGGGGAGCUGGGGGGCACUGAAAAUGAGGCAUAGUGCGAUCACUCCUUUCUAAAACCCAAGGCCCCGGGCUUAGUCUCAGCAAC